ensembl:snRNA U6 U6 spliceosomal RNA
GUGCUGGCUUCAGUGGUACAUAUACUAAAAUUGAAACAAUGUCGAGAAGAUCAGCAUGGUCCCUGCACAAGGACCAAAUCUGUGAAGUGUUGCAUAUUUCU